AAAGAGAAAUACCAACGAAGAAGCAUAACGUAACUAACCAGGAAAUAAUACGUGAUCAACCUUUGUAAAACGUGCUCAACUGUAUGUAAAGUGUUUUGUGCGACAUCUGUAUUGUAGUAUAUGAUAUACAUCUUAGUUAAAUAUUUGUUGUCAUUGUGUUCCCAGUGAAAUACUUUCAUUUCAAUUUGUCCAUUGGGUGAGAACUGAACAGAUGGCAUCCAACUGGACGACUGUGAAGAUGACGCUCGCAUGUUUAUUUACACAAGCGGCGUGAAAGGUCAUUCGUUUAUUUUAUUUUAUUUUUUUUGAUAAUAUAGUUCAUCUCUAGAACCACCCAUGGCAGUCCAAUUUGUCUACACGAACCAGGACUUGAUACAAGAUGUACGCCUCAAUACCGAUAACUUAUCCCUGUCGGCAUGUAAAUCGAGGUUCGAUUCAACCAUUCAAACUGGAUGGACGGACAGAAUGGAAAGGGGACUCUUUCGGUACCGUUUGGGAGACUUACAAACGCGUGUCCUGCCUGGCACGUGUGGUUUUGUGGCCCAGUUAAAUGUCAAGAGAGGAAUGGAGAGAAGAAAGCCUCAGGAGAUCCUCAGUAUUCAGCAAGACUUCAACGCCAAACAGUUUAAUUUUAACAAGGUCAAUCCAGAUGAGAUCAUAUUUGAGAUGAUCAAGGAGUCCGAGGAUGGGCAUGAAAUUGGGAGUCUACCCUACAAGACAGUUGUCUUGGUCAAUGUCAGCCCUCUGGAGUUUGGACAUUGUCUUUUUGUUCCAGAUCCAGCACGGUGCUUUCCUCAAAUCCUCACAAGGCCUGCAAUUCAAGUUGGUAUUGAAUCGGUGCUGCUCAGCUCUGAUCCAGCCUUUCGUGUGGGCUUCAACAGUCUCGGAGCGUUUGCAUCUGUCAACCAUUUACACCUCCAUGGAUAUUACCUGAAGCACAAACUCAAUAUUGAAUACAUGUCCGUCCGGCCCCUUCUUCCUGAAAAAGGAUUUUACACUUUAGCGGGAUUUCCUGCAGGGUUUCUCUUCUACACUGAAUCAGAGGGAGUGAAUGAUGUUGCCAGUGCCAUCUGUCAUGUCACUGACUACCUAAUGGAAGCCAACAUUGCUCACAACCUCUUCAUGACCAGAGGAUGCCCACCCUACGCAGAGGAUGACAAGUUAAGAAAAGGCGUACGCAUCGCCGUGUGGCCCAGAGUAGCUUGUUUUGGUACCAAAGAGGAGUCCGCUCUCAAUGUUGCUCUGUGCGAGCUUGCUGGCCAUCUACCCUUUAAGAACAAGAAGGACUAUGAGGUCAACACCGAGUCAGAUGUGAUAGAAACAAUUCAGCAUUAUCUUCUGCAGCAUGAAGAUUUUCUUCAACUGGAAAGGCAGCUGACUCAACAUUUAAUGAUGCUGUAAAGUUUGUACAAAGAAUGUCAUGUGGUGUUCAGUGCUUAUGAUAUUAAUAAAUGACAUAAUGCUGUAAGGUUUGGACAAAGCAUGUCAAGUGGUGUUCAGUGUUUAUGAUAAAUGAGGAUGUGUAAUUUUUCAGGGCCGAUACAGAUUAUCGCAGCCAAGGAGGCUGAUAUUUGGAGCUGAUAUUUAUUUUCAGUAAAUGUGAUAAUAUUGAAGUCAAAUUUUACAAAUUAAACCCCAAUCGUUUGUUGAAAUGUC